UUUAACAAGUUGGUUUAAUUAAUUAGAGAAAAUCUUAGUUUGGAGAGAUGAUGAUAUUGGCGAGAAACAUAGUGAUUCUUAUCAUUACCAUAAUAUUGCUUGUUUUUUCAGAAGCAAGAUCAAUUGCAUUUUCAGAGCUGGCGUCCGUUGAUGCAGCUUCCCGUGAUCCAACACCGCCACCGCCACCGCCGGCAUAUGCACAGUCGCCUCAUAAUUAAUUAGAUUAUGCCAAAUAUAUCUGAUGAGAGUGCAUUUUUAUAUAAAUAGAGAAAUAAUCUUAUGUUUGCCUCAAUUUAAAUUCCAAAACGUAGCAAGUGUUUUAUUUUUA